AUGUAUUGGUACCAACAUGUUCCAGGUCGGCUCAGCCUCAGCCCGGACACCCCUGGAUGGACUCUGCUCUCCUCCUCAUCUAUAGGACAGCAAACUACCUUCGGACCCUCGCCCCCUGGACGCACCACUGUGACUCACAGCCUCCCACCGGGACAGUCUGAAGAGCAGCCCGCGGUCAGGCUGGGCCGAGAGCUAUUCAGAGACGCGAUGCCUCCGUGGCGGUCAGCGCCGGCUGCGUGCUGCUCUGUGGCCCGCACUGCUCUGACCUCGUGCAGGCUGGGACCUCCCGGGCCUCGUGCACACGCCGUGACGUGGGGGUCUUGUGCGCAGGGUCGGGUCAGUAGAAGGAGGCCUUGGGGGCUGACUCUGGAGGCCGCGCAGCUGGGAGCGCUGGGCUGGGACCUCCCGGGCCUCGUGCACACGCCGUGACGUGGGGGUCUUGUGCGCAGGGUCGGGUCAGUAGAAGGAGGCCUUGGGGGCUGACUCUGGAGGCCGCGCAGCUGGGAGCGCUGGGCCGGGACCCAGCCCGGGGAUCGGGACUCCAGGGCGCGGCUCCCCAGCCCUCGGCUGUCUGUCCCGAGUCCUGGCAAAGCUCCCUUCUGUCCUGUCCUGCUGCAAAUGGCAGAGCCUCCUACUGUUCAGGAAGAAAUGGAAGUUUCUGGGUCCUACCAGUUAGCUUUUAACAGGCUGUGUUGAUUGACACCUGCCUCCCUCCUUCUCCUGCCUCCGGGAAGGAUGUCCUGGGGUCUCAGUAGGACUUUCCCCUGCACUCUAGAGACCUUCCCUGGGGACGAGCCACCCGUGCACUCUUCCUCAGAGCAGAGUAACUUUUUGGUUUUUUUUAAUGCCGUUUACAAUAGCAAAACAGCCAGAGGUGAAAGAGGAAAACGGAUGACAGACAGGGACACACGUGUGCCCUGGAGCCGGGGCCCAGUCACAGCCUGGCUCUUCACUUGCCCCACACCCAGAGGCAGGGGACGGAGGCUUGAGGACACGAGAGGAGCCGAGUCCCCGGGAAGGCCAGAGCCGUGGUCCCCGAGAGCUGCGGCCCUGACCGUCCCCCUUAGAGGCUGCAGGAAGGGAACCUCAAUGCUCCACGAUGCAGACAAACCCAGGGGAUGAGACCUGAGGCUCCAUAAAUCUCUCAGUGGAUCAGUCCUUCCACUGCGCCCCCAUCCAGGUGCAGUGGGGGGACCCAGGAGCCUCGGGCACCUCCACUCCCUCUGCCACGUGGCUCCCUUCUGAACCUCCACGUUCGAGGGCAUCAGUGGGACGGACCGACGCUGGGUCCUGGUCGACUCUCCUCCCGCAGAGACUCUCUGAGCCUGUAAAGUUCCUGCUUCCUGACUUGGUUUGCGAAAGCGAACGGAUGGAGCGUGUGUGAGGAUGCAUCUGUCCUCUGCUUGCUCCCCCUUCUCAGCUGCCGCCCCCCGGUGCUGCUCAGCAAUGCUGCUCGCGCUCAGGGCGGCCCUAGUCCCAGGGCUGUUUCUCCCUCAGAGCCUGCGGCAGCCUGAGGGCGGAGGGCGGCCCGGAGCCCCGAGCUGGGGGCGGCACAGGCGGCCUGGGCCCGCUGGCCCUGGGCUCGAUGGCCUUUCUGUCCUUCAACACUGACCACGAGACUCUUUCCGGAACACGACUUGGUGUCAAGCAGAAUAUGGCAGUGCUGGCUUCAUCAUGGACUCAUUUUGUAAAGAUUUUAUUUAUUUGAGGGAGAGAGAGAACAAGCAUGUGGGGGUGAGGAAGAGGGAGAAGCCGACUUCCCCUGAGGGGAGAGCCCAACACAGGGGGCUGCAUCCCAGGACCCUGGGAUCACGACCUGAGCUGUAAGCAGAUGCUUAACCGACUGAGCCACCCAAGCGUCCCCACGAUGACUCACUUUUAUUAAAAAUCAAAGUUGACUGAAUUGAGGUACUGUGGUUUAUUUCAAAGGAUAAAUUCUAGGACUUUCAGUUGGCUCAGUUUGUAGAGCACCUCACCCUUGAUCUCAGGGUUGGGUUCAAGUCCAUGUUUGGUCUGGAGGCUAUCAUAAUUAAUUAAGCAAUUAAAGGAUUAGGCGCCCAGUGGUUCAUUAGGUUAAGCAACUGACAUCGUCUCCUGUCAUCAUCUCAGGAAUCUGGAAUUGAGCCCCGCACUGGGCUCCCCACACAGGGAGAGUCUGCUUGUCCCUUCCCUCCCCCCUCCCCCUAUUGUGCUCUCUCUCCCACUCCCUGAAAUAAAUAAAUAAAUAUUUUUAAAAAUAUGAAAAGA
rnacentral:lncRNA from 12 species